GAAUGCUGACAUAAGUAACGAUAAAGCGGGUGAAAAGCCCGCUCGCCGGAAGACCAAGGGUUCCUGUCCAACGUUAAUCGGGGCAGGGUGAGUCGACCCCUAAGGCGAGGCCGAAAGGCGUAGUCGAUGGGAAACGGGUUAAUAUUCCCGUACUUGGUGUUACUGCGAAGGGGGGACGGAGAAGGCUAUGUUGGCCGGGCGACGGUUGUCCCGGUUUAAGCGUGUAGGUGUGUGUUCCAGGUAAAUCCGGUUCACUUUAACACUGAGGCGUGACGACGAGGCACUACGGUGCUGAAGCAACAAAUGCCCUGCUUCCAGGAAAAGCCUCUAAGCAUCAGGUAACAUCAAAUCGUACCCCAAACCGACACAGGUGGUCAGGUAGAGAAUACCAAGGCGCUUGAGAGAACUCGGGUGAAGGAACUAGGCAAAAUGGUGCCGUAACUUCGGGAGAAGGCACGCUGACACGUAGGUGAAGUGAUUUACUCAUGGAGCUGAAGUCAGUCGAAG
rnacentral:rRNA from 1 species